rnacentral:lncRNA from 1 species
UCAUAGUGGCUCAUCCUCUUCGGGUUUUUUAGCUCUCUUCUAUUUGGUUUGGAUUGUUUUUAUUUUUAUUGUAAUAGACGGGUAUUCUUUUUCCUUCACAGGUGUUUUUUCCACUGGGUAUUCGUCGGAUAGGUUUAAUGAGGCUCGACCUUUAGUUAGCUUCUUUGUGCUCUCAAGGUUUUUUAGGUUUUUUUUUUUUUUUUAUUUUUAUAAAAUUUCAUUUCAGCAAUGGAACUAGUCGAUUGAUGAUAAUAAUACUUGGAUAUAAUGUUUUGAAAGCGAAAAUUCUUACAGGAGAUAAUGUAGAUAAAAAAAAAAUUGAUUCCAAGAAUGUCAUUGACUCAUGCCGAUCAAAGAUUGUCUUUUAAGUUUGAACAACGACAAUCCCC